rnacentral:rRNA from 1 species
CAUGAAGCUGGAAUCGCUAGUAAUCGCGGAUCAGAAUGCCGCGGUGAAUACGUUCCCGGGUCUUGUACACACCGCCCGUCACACCAUGGGAGUCGGAAAUGCCCGAAGCCGGUGACCUAACCGAAAGGGAGGAGCCGUCGAAGGCAGGAUCGAUAACUGGGGUGAAGUCGUAACAAGGUAAC